rnacentral:rRNA from 1 species
GCAUGCUUAACACAUGCAAGUUGUGCGAUAACCAAGGGGCUUGCUCUUUGGGGACAGCAGCGCACGGGUGAGUAACGCGUGGAUAACGUGCCCUAGGGUUGGGGAUAACCCGCCGAAAGGUGGACUAAUACCGAAUGUGUUCCAAUAAGGUGCGCCUAUUUGGAAGAAAGCGGGGCAACCCGCGCCCAAGGAUCGGUCCGCGUUCCAUCAGCUAGUUGGUGAGGUAAAGGCUCACCAAGGCUACGACGGAUAGCUGGUCUGAGAGGAUGAUCAGCCACACUGGGACUGAGAUACGGCCCAGACUCCUACGGGAGGCAGCAGUGGGGAAUAUUGGUCAAUGGGCGAAAGCCUGAACCAGCAAUGCCGCGUGAGUGAUGAAGGCCUUAGGGUUGUAAAGCUCUGUCAGUGGGAACGAAUAANUCGAUUAAUACCCGAUGAUGACGGUACCCACAAAGGAAGCACCGGCUAACUCUGUGCCAGCAGCCGCGGUAAUACAGAAGGUGCAAGCGUUGUUCGGAAUUACUGGGCGUAAA